CGGCUCCUCCCCACGGGCCCCGGCGGGGCGGGAGGCGGGAAACGGCCGCCUUCACCCUGGCCUUCCCGGGAUCCCACAACCCCGCCGCAGCAGUCUGCUCCCCGCUCACCUGUCAAUCCUCCUUCAGAGCUGACGGUCCGGGGUGGCCCCGAAUCCUGGCUGCGCGUCUCAGGGAGCCAGCGCGUCUCAGGGAGACUCGCUUAGCCCCGCCGCGCAGAGGGAUGUGAACCUGUUUUGUACAAAUUGGUGGCUUGUUUGGGUUCUUCAGAAUUGUGGCUUCUGAUUCACUGGAGGUGGCUGUGCCCCUACCCCGCAACCCCCUGAAGUGGCUGGCAUUGGUGCAAAUGAGGCUGUUGAACCUGAUCGUGUUCUCUCUGGCCUUGGACCUGAGUGCUGCAGAGAGAGAGAGAGAGGGAGACUCUGAUGGCUCUGAAGAUCAUGGCCCUUCCCAUAUGAGGUUCUAGGCAGUAUUCCUGAGCCGGUCUCUUGCUCACUCCCCAGCCCUUUUGAAUACCCCUUUUCGGUAUGAAUUUGAUGAUCUAAUUUGACUAUCUCUCAAAUGCUCAGGUGUGUUACAGUUUUACUCUUCACUGUAUCAGUUUGUCACACGGUUAAGAGAGCAGGAUCUACCCUUCACUCGGGGUCAUUCUCUGCAUCCUAGCUGAUGUUCAGUGAAAGCUCCAAGGGUUUGUCAAUGUGGAAACUGGUUGGCAGUCAAUCGAUGGUCUCGCAGCCACAGUUAGAGAUGAGCUGCAUCUGGGUCUGCCCAUGUGCUUUUAGAAUAGGCUGAACUUUAUAACACAUUCAAUCUUUGGAAUAAACUGCCACCGUUUUAUUGUUAGUUGAACUAUAUACAAGGUUGCUGGGGUAGGAUAUUUCAGGGGCAGAGUGCUUGCCUAGCAUGCAUGAGACUGUAGGUGGACUCCAUCCCCAGGACCAAAAUAAUAAUUUUAUUCAUAGAGGAAGAUGUUUGCCUGGGUUCAAUGCCCAACAACUCCAGCUUUGGAGGAUCCAAAUGCUUCUGUCUUCUGAGGUCACUAGCAUGGACAUAGCCCCUACCACACAUGUACACACAAUUAAAAAACAAAGCAUAGGAUUUGGAGUAAAACAGACUUUGCUUUUAAAGCCCCAUAAUAAUAUUGCAAUGCUGUAGACAUGAACACUUUCUCAACAACCCCCAUACACAUAUACUGAAAGAGAAAUUAAAAUAUAACCCUGAGUGGGCCUUACAAGGAGAAGAUGAGUUAGUGCAUGAAAAACAGCAGUGUUUAGCAUGUGCUAAAUAAAGAAAGCUGUUAUAUAUUGCCAUGUGUAAUCUAAUCCAAAACAAUCCAUACAUGUGUGUAUCUGGAUUUGCCUUUAAAAAAAAAAAUGUUCUAAUCACCACAGCGAGAUUCCUUGUAAGCGGAUUCUUCUGAUUGGCUGCCUCUGCACCCUCUGCCCCUUCCCAACCUCCCCCUAGGUGCCCACUGUGGGAGGAUGUCCAGUGUUCCGAAGCCUGGCGUCAGGGACUUUCUUUACAUGUCUGAAAGACUUAGUAUCUAGGAAUGCCUCAGAAAGCUAGUUCUUAAAGAGCGCUUUAAGAGUAUGUGUUCUUACCAGAGUUAUUGAGUGGGUGGGUUGACCUUUCCUGGCUUAUUUGUGUGUCAGUCAGCAUCCUCCUCUCCUGGAUGUUGUUCUGUCCUUGCUCCCAGAACAUAGACACUUAACCGCUGCAAGUCCAACUCUGUCCCCGGAGUCCUGGAGUCCGUAGCUACUCACGAAAUGGCUCGGAAUCCGAAGGCUCCUGCUCUCAACUUUGCCUCCACAUCUACAAGGUCUAGGACCUCAGGAAAGCUCCUGGCCACUCUGAGUCUCAGUAUCUUCUCUGUGAAGGCAGCUUUAUCGGCAGUGUGGAAAUCAAGCAGACAGUGUGGGGCAGGGCGGGGGAAUCACUGUUUGGAAGCAUUAGUUGUGAUUUGACGAUAAGGAAAUAAUCUUAGCAAUCUAAUCAAGUCCCUUCCUAGCUCCUUAGUUCCACAGAAGGAGCUAGCGUUUGCAUGAUCUUAGACCCCUCUGAGCUGUGGUUGUCUGCGUCUGGCACGAGGAAGUUAAAUCCCUGGACCUUGUUCAAUUCAGUACUGGUGCCAGGCUCCCUUGGGAAUCGGAACCCACUAGACUUUGAAGCCUAGCAACUGGGAUCCAUCCGUGCUUUACAGAUGAACAUCUUUCAGGUCAGUAGAGGAUUGCUUCAGACUGCUCUUGAUGGUUUUGUUCAUUUUUGAGAUUAUAAUUUGAAUUCCCCUUGGCCUCCUCACAUACUCCUCUCUGCUCUCCUGCAAAUUCAUGGUCUCUUUCAUCGAUGCUAUUAUGUGUAUGUUUGCAUUUAUACAUGUAUAUUCCCUGACAUAACCUGUUGGGUCCAUCUAAUGUUUCAGGGCUCACCAUUUGGCCCAGUUGACACGUGUUUCCCUGAGGAGGGUCACCUCUCCCUCUCCUAGCUCUCUUCAAUUGCCUGUACUUCUUUGUAUAGAAUUGAGAGCUCACGGGCUUUUCCUUAUGCAGUUUGGCAUGUCCAUGGGUGUCAUGACUUUUUUCCCCCUUAACUAGCAGCUGUUUGACUCAAGUGGGUAAUUGCCUGCAAUGAGAGAUCAGCUUGGGGACAAAAGUCUCCAGCGACAAAGAAAAAUUGGAAAGUA
rnacentral:lncRNA from 1 species